AAACAAAAGACAUGCAAUAGAACCAGGGAAGAAAAUUUGCGAGUGGAGCGAUUGCCUGCACACAGUAACUGGAGGUAGUUCUGACUACGGCGGAAGCAUUAAAAACAUUGCUUUAAGACUUUGAAUGCAGAUUCCAACUAUCCACAGAAACACACAAUCGCAGAGAACAGAAAAGGCGUUUGGAAAAAUCAAUUAAUUCGGGGCCGACAUGGAAGUCGAACUCAAAGAGUUGCUCGCCGAUCUUCAAUCUUUGAGCCAAUCGCUUCCCGAUCCAUCUCAUCAUGCUUCGCUCCAUAAGAUUCAAUUGCGUGUUGAGCAUAUUUCGAAUCUUGCAACGGCUGCACCUGUUCGACGCUCUAAAGUUGAGGAUAUGAGUGCUGAGGUUGUAGAUAGCAAUCCUUAUAGUCGGCUUAUGGCACUUCAGAGGAUGGGAAUUGUGGAGAACUAUGAAAGAAUACGCGAUUUCUCAGUUGCCAUAGUUGGAAUAGGUGGUGUUGGAAGUGUUGCAGCUGAGAUGCUAACUAGAUGCGGUAUAGGUCGGCUUCUGUUGUAUGAUUAUGACAAAGUGGAGCUUGCAAAUAUGAAUAGGCUUUUCUUCCGUCCAGAUCAGGUUGGUAUGACAAAGACUGAUGCAGCUGUGCAGACUCUUUCAGAAAUUAACCCUGAUGUUGUGCUUGAAAGCUAUACACUGAAUAUCACCACCAUCUCAGGUUUUGAAACCUUUAUGUCAAGUUUGAAAAAUAAAUCCUUUCGCUCAAGUAAACAAGGGAGUGGUGUGGAUCUGGUCUUAAGUUGUGUGGAUAAUUACGAAGCAAGAAUGGCUGUUAACCAGGCUUGUAAUGAACUGAGCCAAACAUGGAUGGAGUCAGGUGUUUCUGAGGAUGCUGUUUCUGGCCAUAUUCAAUUACUUAUCCCUGGUGAAACUGCCUGUUUUGCAUGUGCACCUCCUCUGGUUGUUGCAUCUGGGGUAGAUGAACGGACACUCAAGCGUGAAGGGGUUUGUGCUGCAUCUUUACCAACCACUAUGGGUGUGGUUGCUGGUCUUCUAGUCCAAAACACACUAAAAUUAUUGUUAGGUUUUGGACAAGUCUCUCCGUAUUUGGGAUAUAACUCUCUAAAGGAUUUUUUCCCAACUAUGCAAAUGAAGCCAAACCCUCAAUGUUCAAAUGUAGCAUGCUUGAAAAGACAGGUAAUUUGUUUAUGUUUGGAAUUUUGGAAAAAAAUGACAGGACGAAUACAUGCUUGCAAAACCAGCAAGAGAUGCUGCAGCCAAAGCAAGAAGGGAAGCUGAAGCACAAACAACUGAGGAAGGGCCACUUCACCAAGAUAAUGAAUGGAAUAUAAGUGUUGUUGAUGAUGCUGAGCUGGAUGGUCCAGAUACCAGAAGUUCAGAUGCUCUGCCGGAAGGUCUCACACAUGAACUUCCUAUUGCAGACGAGUUUCAAAAGGCAACUCCUGAAACUCCAAUAGUUGAUAAUGAUGACCUCGAGGACCUUCGUAGGCAACUUGAUGCCAUUAAUUCUGUGUAGUGACAGCUAAUUAAGUUUCCGCUAUUCUUUUAAAAAAAUAACAUUUGGAUAUCAAUUGUUCAAGAGAGCCGGUUUAACUCAAACAAUUGUUUUAGUUGGUUUGUUUAGUUAUAUAUCUUGCACUUUUCAGAAAGCCGCUCCUAAAUAUA